GAUGAACGCUAGCGGCAGGCCUAAUACAUGCAAGUCGGACGGGAUUUGGGAGCUUGCUCCUAAUGAGAGUGGCGCACGGGUGCGUAACACGUAUGUAACCUACCUUAAUCAGGGGGAUAGCCUCUCGAAAGAGAGAUUAACACCGCAUAAUAUAUUUUUAUGGCAUCGUAGGAAUAUCAAAUAUUUAUAGGAUUAAGAUGGGCAUGCGGAACAUUAGCUAGUUGGUAAGGUAACGGCUUACCAAGGCUACGAUGUUUAGGGGAUCUGAGAGGAUGACCCCCCACACUGGUACUGAGACACGGACCAGACUCCUACGGGAGGCAGCAGUAAGGAAUAUUGGUCAAUGGGCGCAAGCCUGGACCAGCCAUGCCGCGUGCAGGAAGACGGCCCUAUGGGUUGUAAACUGCUUUUGUACCGGAAUAAACCCCCAGACGUGUCUGGGGCUGAAUGUACGGUAAGAAUAAGGAUCGGCUAACUCCGUGCCAGCAGCCGCGGUAA
rnacentral:rRNA from 1 species